CCUAACACAUGCAAGUCGAACGGGACCUUCGGGUCUAGUGGCGCACGGGUGCGUAACGCGUGGGAACCUGCCCUUAGGUUCGGAAUAACAGUUAGAAAUGACUGCUAAUACCGGAUAAUGUCUUCGGACCAAAGAUUUAUCGCCUUUGGAUGGGCCCGCGUAGGAUUAGCUAGUUGGUGGGGUAAAGGCCUACCAAGGCGACGAUCCUUAGCUGGUCUGAGAGGAUGAUCAGCCACACUGGGACUGAGACACGGCCCAGACUCCUACGGGAGGCAGCAGUGGGGAAUUUUGGACAAUGGGCGAAAGCCUGAUCCAGCAAUGCCCCCUGAGUGAUGAAGGCCUUAGGGUUGUAAAGCUCUUU
rnacentral:rRNA from 1 species